UUGAUGCUAUUAUGAUGUCCAGCAUGUCUUAAUACCUUCUGAGAAAACCAGAUAAUGUCACGAAGUGUACUUCAGGUCUGAGCUGAGCUGCAACUAGAGAGACGUGGCUGAAAACCCAACAAGACAGAAAUAACACUGAACAAUUGUUCAGUGGCCAAAGAAGCAGUACCUUCCUGUAACUGAUUGUCCUUUUAGGGGCACAGAUAACAACUCAGUCAAUUGAGAAGCCAUCACAAGCAAAAAGUUGUAUCUGUGCUAGAAAUCAUCUACUCCUUGCUCCUACAUAAAAGGUUCAUGUAUUGGUUUGCCACUGACUUUUUUUCAGAUAUGUCUCCUAGGGGCACUGCCAGUUAGCAAGCUUUCCUCAGAUACCUCCCAGACUCAGAAGGAGACUGGUUACCUCUCACCUGAGACCCUGGUUCCCUACCUUCUAGCUUCUGAGGACGCUCCUGAGUGAAGGUGGUUCGUUACCUUUCAGCUUCUGGAUCUGGAUUUGCCUGCCCAAACUGCCCAACAACGAACACUAUUUCAUAAUUUGCCUAUGUGGUUCAGUCAUUUUCUUCUUCCUACUUAAAGCUUCAGCCCCUCAAGUUGUUUUCUGGGGCUAAGCACCUGGUAACACCUGUCCCCUGUGGUCAUGAAGAACAUAAGAUCAACCACCCCUUGCUAACCUCCAGCUUUACACUGGCAAGCAGGACCCCUCUCCAUGGGGUUUGUCCCCUCUGCCCCUGCUAUGCUGAUGGAAAUUGUGUUCCCCAUGGUGGCAAGUGGACAAAGAGGUAGUGUUACCUGUGCCAUUGAGGUCAUACUGUGCAAAAGCACUAGUAAGUUCAGGCUUGUAAGCAUAAAUCUGCUCUCGUAAGGACUUUAAGGCAGAUGAUUCAAUUGUACCCACCCUAGGAGGGAAAAAGUGCAGAGCAUGUCAUUGAAAAAUUUAAAUCUAGCAUUUUAUGCUUUGCAGCAUUUGUAAUCGAAUUCUUACACCCUUUAACAUGUACUAUGUUUAGGGUCAUCCUACAAGACAACACUGGGGGGGGGGGGGGGGGGGAAUAAUCUGCUUUUUUUAGAUAAUCACAUUUAUGCAGGUAAUUCUAAGAUGCUUUGCACUGGUAAAUCUGACCACAAUGCUAGGCAUGGCAGAGCUGUCACGAUCAAUUUUUUGGGCUCUGUUCGUAACAGGCUUUGUUCAGAUUAAUGCUGCAGUCUUAAAGCAGAGCUGACAGACAGGCGCCAGCCCUUUAUGGUCCCUAACAGUUGUCUGUUCUAACCACUUUCUGCGACUAAUUACCUUUGGGAGCUUCUCAGGAAGCCCAUUAGAGCACUUAGAAUAUGUUUUGUCUACUAUCUAUAUUAAUUUUUAAAUUGUAAAAUUUACAAGGAAACCCGAGGAAAAUGAUGCCUAUUCAAUUACUCAAGCUAUAGAUUUGUGGCAAGUACUCACAUGCUAAACAAAUAUACUGUGGAUGUGCCUGUGAAAUUCACAGAAGAAUUCUACUUUAUUUGGAAGCAUCUUACCUUCCCAUUGUGACUGAUAUCAUAACCUUCUGGCUUAAAUUCAUGAGACCUGAUGAGCAUCUUCAGAUUAUACUUUUUAAACAGCUUGGCAGUGACAUCAGGACCAAAGUAACAACCUCCUCCUCGACUCUUGUUUGGUGUACAGCCCCUUUGGCUUCUUGGGUCACUCCAGAGAAUGUCAAGGAUCUAUAAAUGGCAUACGCAAGUAAGUGAAGAUUUAAUAGGAGAGGAAUGACAGGCUGUGGCUGUUGCAAGUACUGGGAGAAAACGCACCUGAGUUGAAUAAGUAGGCCUUUUUUUCCUUUUAGUAGGGCAUUCUUUUGAGCUGAAAGUUCUGCUUUUCUUAAACAUUACCUGGAUUUUGGAUGAACUUUUUUCAGAUGAAAUAACAUUUCAGAAAUGUAUCUGUCUCCUUUACAGCUGAAUUUUCCAGACCCAGAUUGGUACAUCGGGAAUAGUACCUAGGGUACUUCAAAGAGAGCAAAAGCUGCCUUCUUCUCAUGUAGCUGAGGGGUCUUUUCUAUUUCACAGACCUGAUAAACAUAGGGGUCAGUGGUUUUAUCUAAACUAAGCUUGAGAGUGCCUGCUCUAAACAUGACAAGAGUUGCCUUUGGCUUUAUUGUCUUCAGUUAGCUUCCAUUUCUAAAUAGGAUUUUACAUUAUUAUGUCAGGAUUCAUGAGGAUGAAUUAUCAUAGUUUAAAGUUACCUAACCAAAUAAUUCUGGUCUGUGGAAUUUGCUCUAGAAGACAAAAUGUGUUUGUUUAAACCUCACUGGAUAAGGUUUACACUAACACAUUCCACUUCACCUUUGUGUGCAUGGCUAGGUGAAUGCUUGGUUAGCUGGGGGAGUGUCAGAUCUGGGGGCAUUACCUGUGCCCAUUAUGUUAGUUUGUAGGUCAGAUAGGUAUCCUGGGAAAUCACAUUUUCAGAGACAGAUAGGCUUCUCAAGAAGCUAAAGAAAACUAUCUGCCUCUUAAAGCAGUUGUCUGAUGAGAAGCUCAGAAAAAGAAACAUAAAACUCAAUUUGAGCUUCUGAAUUGCUGUGCAAAUUAUGCUUUUCAAAUUGUCACAAUUUAUUAAAUUACAGUAUGACAAGAUCUCCAUAUUGCCUCUAAUAUUUAAGAGGAAAUGAAAGGCCAGAGGACAAAAACUAUUCACUCUUGAGCAAUCAGCCUGUAGGAGUUGGGGUUUUUUUGGACACAACCAGCAUUUAGCUGCCAAAACCACAGCCAAAGAAAGGUGCUUGCUAUUGCAAACAA